GAAACGUUUCUCCAAAAAUGCUGAAGAAUUCAGCCUAAGGACAAAGCAAAGCUUGACAUUCCAUUGUGGAACACUGAAGAGAAGAAAUCCAAAGACUGAGCUCUCCAGUGUUCAGACGCUUUGGAAAUAAGGAAGAGGCAAUAAAAGAGACCGAAGGAGCAGACAAUAGGUCAGAGGAAACCAUGGAAGCCAAGAGAGAAAAUAUCUCUCAAGAAGGCAGAAUUUCACACAUGUCAGGCAGGUAUUGUGAUGCAUGCCCACAUUCUCAGCACUUCAGAGGAUGGGGAGAGAGGACCAGAAGUCUAAAGUCAUCUUCAGUUGCAAUGCUGUCUCAAAUCCUAACCAAGCCAAACCAGGACAACAGUGACAACGACCAUGACGAUGACAACAACACAUCCAUAGUAACAGUGAGUGUGCUUCACAGAAUGCAGGCACACCUGCCAUCUCGUUCCUGCUCGAGUUUCUGACCUGACUACCCUCCAUGGCAGACUGCAACUGAGAAGUAUAAGCUAGGGUUUGCAUCCUGGUGGCUUUCAGUACAAAAGAACUACUAAGCUUGCCUGAAGUCACUUCUGCCUCCUAGGGGACUUAUAGAGCAAGAAAACCAUGGGAUUGAGAUGAGUUUUCUUUAUACUGCAACCCCCCUCUCUCUUUCAUUAAAAAAAAAAAUGGAACAGUUCAGUUUCCAGUUUCCCAAUAAAUAUUCAUAUAUCUGACAAUU